GAUUUGAGCCGAACCGAUUCUUGCUCCUUUUUCGGGUUCAAGAGCAAACCCGAUCCUUUCCACGGGUUAGGAUCCAACCGUUACAAUAUGUUGAAGUUUUUAAAUCACACAAAAGAAAACUCUCUAAAAGAGUGAUUAUACAAUUUGAAGCUCACAAAUUUAAUCCUCACAAUACAAUAAGAAGCUCUCAAGAAUAAGAUGAAAAGAAUAAAAAUUGGAAGCUUUAGAGAGAAUAACAAUGUUGGCUUUUUGCUUGAGGAUUGUAAAGAUUUU
rnacentral:lncRNA from 1 species